AAAUAAGAAGUAAAAUUUACAUUUAAUUUCGACUUAAAAUUUUGGUGAUCACUAUCACCCUUAUUUA
rnacentral:tRNA from 1 species